ensembl:misc_RNA 7SK 7SK RNA
GGAUGUGAGGGUGAUCUGGCUGCGACAUCUAUCACCCAUCGAUCGCCAGGGUUGAUUUGGCUGAUCUGGCUGGCUAGGCGGGUGUCCCCUUCCUCCUUCACCUCUUCAUUUGCGUCCCUCCCAAAGCUUUGUGCUCACUCUCAGAGGAAAGCCAUCCCAAAUAGAGAUGGUAUAUGUGGAGGGUAUAUGAAUAGCUGCAUUCCCCUGCUAGAACUUCCAAUCAAGCUCUCAAUCUAAUACUCAAGUAGAAGAUAAUUAGCAAAGAAAGGUGAAAAGUGUGUGUAAUCCUUUAAUUU